GACGUAGGGGGCCAGCGUUGCUCGGAAUAACUGGGCGUAAAGGGUCUGUAGGCGGUGUGGCAAGUCGGGAGUGAAAUCUCUGGGCUUAACCCAGAGGCUGCUUCCGAAACUGCCGUGCUAGAGUGCGAGAGAGGUGAGUGGAAUUGCAGGUGUAGCGGUGAAAUGCGUAGAUAUCUGCAGGAACACCCGUGGCGAAAGCGGCGCGCUGGACCACAACUGACGCUGAGGAACGAAAGCUAGGGGAGCAAACAGG
rnacentral:rRNA from 1 species